UACAGAGGGUGCAAGCGUUGUUCGGAAUUAUUGGGCGUAAAGCGCGUGUAGGCGGCCGUGCAAGUCGGGUGUGAAGGCCCUCGGCUCAACCGAGGAAGUGCGCCCGAAACUGCAUGGCUUGAGUACCGGAGAGGAUGGCGGAAUUCCCCAAGUAGAGGUGAAAUUCGUAGAUAUGGGGGAGGAACACCGGUGGCGAAGGCGGCCAUCUGGACGGAUACUGACGCUGAGACGCGAAAAGCGUGGGGGAGCAAAACAGGG
rnacentral:rRNA from 1 species